CUCCCCCUCUACUCCCUCUCCAUCCAUGGCCUUCGACGAUGAGCAGCUCCGACGAGCAGAGCUCCAAGGCCUUCUACGAGCUCUCCGCCAUCCUCCUCUCGAUCCUCCGCUCGCCGCCUGGAUCCGGUCCUCCGCCACGGCGGAUCCAGGCGGUGCCGAGAUCUCCGUCCGCGAGGCGGAGCAAGAUGACGCCGGCGGCGUUCGCUUCCCUCUUGCUGGGGGUUUAGUUCGCUAUGAUGCUUUCUGGAGCGGUGACGUUCGUGAUUGGGAUUAUGCUGAUGCCUUGGGUGCUAGGGUUUGUGAUGGUGUUGUAUUUUGUCGGGAUUGUUUCGAGCUUGUCGGCGAUGCUUUGCCCUAGCUCGUGGGUAGCGGGAUCGAGAACAAGUCCCAAGGCGAUCCACGGUAAAAAUCUCUGUUCUUGGUUGAAUUCGCCAAAUUUGAUGAUUAAUCUCGCUGAGCUGAGAAAAAAAAAAUUAAUCUUAUAUUUAGUUAAAUGAAAGUAAAUUUAAUCUUAUUGUGAUUUGGAUAAAAUAAAUGUUUGAGGAGUGACAUAUUUCUUGCACUGCGUGGUGUCCAUGUUGUUAUAGGAGUGAGAAACUUGGCUGCUGGUAAUACUGUUAAAGAAGCAAUUGUGAAGGGAAUACCCGCUGCUAAAGUUGAUGUACUCGAAAAUUAAUUGAGAAUUUCUUUUUGUUCCCUUUGUUGUUCCUGAUAUUCUAAUUUUUGUAAGCCUUGAUGUCCAUAUGUCAUUUUGCCAUUUUUCUUUGACUUCAUGUGUAUUGUAGGGUUACAUGAUAGUAUUCCUGUCGUCACACGGUUCUCUAGAGGCUCUUGCUCACUCUAAUCAUCCUGACUUUGGCUCUAUAGACUGAUGUUCUCUCCAAUUUAGUUGUCGUGUCUGAUCACUUCUGAAUUUUUCUUGUCUCAAACCUUUUCGCUAAAAUUUUUAGGCAUUAAAGCUCAAACGAACUUGAAAGAUAUCAAGGUGGUUACAUAAAUUAACCACUUUCUCAAUUUUGAAAGCUACCUCAUUUCAACAAUUUGUAUCUCUUUAUAAUAUUUCUUCUGCAGAUUCACAUUGCCUCCAUUUCUAACACUCAAGAACUUUGAGGGCUUGGACCUUGGAAAUAUGGACAAGGCUGAUGAUUCUGGUCUGGCAUCAUAUGUUGCUGGGCAAAUUGACAGAUCUCUGAGCUGGAAGUGUUUCAGGAGGCAAUACAGGAAUUAUGGCUACUCCCUACUUGCUCUCGCAUGAUGGAAUAGAGCUCCAGUUUGCAACAAAUCAUAUUGGUAUGUAGUUCACGGUUAAAAGGACUCAUCCUUGGUA